rnacentral:rRNA from 1 species
UACGAAGGGGGCUAGCGUUGUUCGGAAUCACUGGGCGUAAAGCGCACGUAGGCGGAUCUUUAAGUCCGGGGUGAAAUCCCGAGGCUCAACCUCGGAACUGCCUUUGAUACUGGGGAUCUCGAGUCCGGAAGAGGUAAGUGGAACUGCGAGUGUAGAGGUGAAAUUCGUAGAUAUUCGCAAGAACACCAGUGGCGAAGGCGGCUUACUGGUCCGGAACUGACGCUGAGGUGCGAAAGCGUGGGGAGCAAACAGG